rnacentral:rRNA from 2 species
GCAUAUCAAUAAGCGGAGGAAAAGAAACCAACAGGGAUUACCUCAGUAACGGCGAGUGAAGCGGUAAAAGCUCAAAUUUGAAAUCUGGCUCUUUUAGAGUCCGAAUUGUAAUUUGUAGAAGAUGCUUCGGGUGUGGUUCCGGUCUAAGUUCCUUGGAACAGGACGUCAUAGAGGGUGAGAAUCCCGUAUGUGACUGGAUACCUAUGCUCAUGUGAAGCUCUUUCGACGAGUCGAGUUGUUUGGGAAUGCAGCUCAAAAUGGGAGGUAUAUUUCUUCUAAAGCUAAAUAUUGGCCAGAGACCGAUAGCGCACAAGUAGAGUGAUCGAAAGAUGAAAAGCACUUUGGAAAGAGAGUUAAACAGUACGUGAAAUUGUUGAAAGGGAAGCGCUUGCAAUCAGACUUGCACUUGGUGUUCAUCAGGGUCUCGUACCCUGUGUACUUCAUCAAGUUCAGGCCAGCAUCAGUUUGAGUGGUUAGAUAAAGGCUUAGAGAAUGUGGCCCUCUUCGGGGGGUGUUAUAGCUCUAGGUGCAAUGUAGCCUACUUGGACUGAGGACCGCGCUUCGGCUAGGAUGCUGGCGUAAUGGUUGUAAGCGACCCGUCUUGAAACACGGACCAAGGAGUGUACCUAAUAUGCGAGUGUUUGGGUGUUAAACCCAUACGCGUAAUGAAAGUGAACGCUGGUGAGAACCCUUAAGGGUGCAUCAUCGACCGAUCUUGAUGUCUUCGGAUGGAUUUGAGUAAGAGCAUAUUGGGUGCGACCCGAAAGAUGGUGAUCUAUACGUGAAUAGGGUGAAGCCAGAGGAAACUCUGGUGGAGGCUCGCAGCGGUUCUGACGUGCAAAUCGAUCGUCAAAUUUGCGUAUAGGGGCGAAAGACUAAUCGAACCAUCUAGUAGCUGGUUCCUGCCGA